rnacentral:rRNA from 1 species
GACGAACGCUGGCGGCGUGCUUAACACAUGCAAGUCGAACGGAAAGGCCCAGCUUGCUGGGUGCUCGAGUGGCGAACGGGUGAGUAACACGUGGGUGAUCUGCCUCUAACUUCGGGAUAAGCUUGGGAAACUGGGUCUAAUACCGGAUAGGACAAUCGUUUAGUGUCGGUUGUGGAAAGUUUUUUCGGUUAGGGAUGAGCCCGCGGCCUAUCAGCUUGUUGGUGGGGUAAUGGCCUACCAAGGCGUCGACGGGUAGCCGGCCUGAGAGGGUGGACGGCCACAUUGGGACUGCGAUACGGCCCAGACUCCUACGGGAGGCAGCAGUGGGGAAUAUUGCACAAUGGGCGCAAGCCUGAUGCAGCGACGCCGCGUGGGGGAUGACGGCCUUCGGGUUGUAAACCUCUUUCGACAGGGACGAAGCUUUGGUGACGGUACCUGUAGAAGAAGCACCGGCUAACUACGUG